rnacentral:rRNA from 1 species
AGUUGCGAACGGGUGAGUAACGCGUAGGUAACCUGCCUUGUAGCGGGGGAUAACUAUUGGAAACGAUAGCUAAUACCGCAUAACAGCUUUUGACACAUGUUAGAAGCUUGAAAGAUGCAAUUGCAUCACUACGAGAUGGACCUGCGUUGUAUUAGCUAGUAGGUAGGGUAACGGCCUACCUAGGCGACGAUACAUAGCCGACCUGAGAGGGUGAUCGGCCACACUGGGACUGAGACACGGCCCAGACUCCUACGGGAGGCAGCAGUAGGGAAUCUUCGGCAAUGGGGGCAACCCUGACCGAGCAACGCCGCGUGAGUGAAGAAGGUUUUCGGAUCGUAAAGCUCUGUUGUAAGAGAAGAA